CCAGCUUACAUUUCUGAACUCCCAAGUUUUCCCAGACUAUAAAUACCCAAUUUAGCAAUGCCAGAAGGAGAAGAACUCUGCAUGUAGGGGCCAGAUAAUCUUCUUUGUAU